rfam:Homo sapiens chromosome 21, GRCh38 reference primary assembly.
GCUGGGUGUGGUGGUGCAUGCCUGCAGUUCCAGCUACUUAGGAGGCUGAGGUGGGAGGAUCGCUUGAGCCCAGGAAUUUGAGGCUGCAGUGAGUUAUGACCGCACCACUGCACUCCAGCCUGGGCGACAGAGCGAGACCCUGUCUCAA